rnacentral:rRNA from 1 species
GACGAACGCUGGCGGCGCGCCUAACACAUGCAAGUCGAACGGAGACACUUCGUUCAUUGAGCGGUGGGGCGGUCGGCAAGAAGUCGGUUGUCCUACUGUUGAAUGAAUGAAGUGUCUUAGUGGCGGACGGGUGAGUAACACGUGAGCAACCUGCCUUACAGAGGGGAAUAACACACUGAAAAGUGUGCUAAUACCGCAUAACGCAGCAUCUUCGCAUGGAGGAGCUGCCAAAGAUUUAUCGCUGUAAGAUGGGCUCGCGUCCGAUUAGAUAGUUGGCGGGGUAACGGCCCACCAAGUCGACGAUCGGUAGCCGGACUGAGAGGUUGAACGGCCACAUUGGGACUGAGACACGGCCCAGACUCCUACGGGAGGCAGCAGUGGGGGAUAUUGCACAAUGGGCGCAAGCCUGAUGCAGCGACGCCGCGUGAGGGAAGACGGUCUUCGGAUUGUAAACCUCUGUCUUCGGGGACGAAGUAUGACGGUACCCGAGGAGGAAGCUACGGCUAACUACGUG